CAGCAGCCGCGGUAAUACGUAGGGUGCAAGCGUUAAUCGGAAUUACUGGGCGUAAAGCGUGCGCAGGCGGUUCUAUAAGACAGAUGUGAAAUCCCCGGGCUCAGCCUGGGAACUGCAUUUGUGACUGUAAAGCUAGAGUGCGGCAGAGGGGGAUGGAAUUCCGCGUGUAGCAGUGAAAUGCGUAGAUAUGCGGAGGAACACCGAUGGCGAAGGCAAUCCCCUGGGCCUGCACUGACGCUCAUGCACGAAAGCGUGGGGAGCAAACAGGAUUAGAUACCCGCGUAGUCCCUGUCUCUUAUAC
rnacentral:rRNA from 1 species